rnacentral:tRNA from 2 species
UCCCGGCUAGCUCAGUCGGUAGAGCGUCAGACUCUUAUCCAAGAGCCUCUGUGUUCAUCACAGAACCUCAAUCUGAAUGUCGUGGGUUCGAGCCCCACGUUGGGAG